rnacentral:rRNA from 1 species
GACGGAGGGUGCGAACGUUGUUCGGUGUCACUGGGCUUAGAGAGCGCGUAGGCGGCCCGGUAUGUGGACGGUGAAAGCCCUCGGCUCAACCGAGGAAUUGCCGUUCAAACUGCCGGGCUUGAGGGCCGGAGAGGGAAGCGGAACGUCGCGUGUAGCGGUGAAAUGCGUUGAUAUGCGACGGAACGCCGGUGGCGAAGGCGGCUUCCUGGUCGGUUUCUGACGCUGAGGCGCGAAAGCGUGGGGAGCAAACGGGAUUAGAUACCCGCGUA